rnacentral:lncRNA from 1 species
UGUAGUACAGUUGAGGCAGAUCUACAAGUUUGUAUUUUAUUUUGAAACUUGAAAAAUCUGUGUUGAAAAAUGCAAGUAUUUUGGUACCUGUAAUUCCAAAAGUCUAUGGUUCUAACCAAUGGUAAAAUUUUGGCAAAGGCUGGAAAACAAGGUAGUAAUCACGGUUUAACAAAAAGCAGGGAAUUAAGGAACUUGAAGGAAAAGUAGUUUUGAUUUUUUUUUUAUAUUCAGAUCUAGUACUUGGAAAUAACCUACAGUAAUAUUCAUGUCCAUUGUUAGAAAUAACCUACUCUGGGCAUAUGGAACAAAAGGUCAGACAUUUGAUUUCUAGGACUCCCUUGAAAGGGCUGCAUAUGUGUAUACAAGAUAUUAGUAACAUUUAAAAAUUGUGCUAUAUAUUUUGAGUACAUCAUGUUAAAUUAAAUCCCAUACAUGUUUAUUAACUACUUACUAGUGUUUGUCUCUAUCAUUUUCUGAGACUGACAAGGCAUGCAAUUUGGGGGGAGGGAUUCUGACAUGAAAAACUGAGUGUGUCAAGUGGCUUGAGGACUUUUGCUUUUUGAGGGAGCAAGGAGCAGUUACUUUUGCUUAGUGAGCAGGCAGCCGAGGUUUCCCAGGGAUGAGAUGGCGAAGGCCUUGUGCAGGUGGGGGUUGGAGAUCAUGCAGAGUGGAGAGUUCAUGCCAUGUUUGGGAACUGGGUGGGGUGCAUAGGGGAGAGUGGUGUAGGACACCAGAAAGGUGGCAAGAUAUGAAGAUUUAGAAGCCACUGGGGGCUUUUAUGCAGGAGGAGGGUGACAGUAUUUGAUCUGUGAUAUGAGAUUUGAGGGGUAAGUGGGGGUGAUGGAUAGGACUGGGAGGGACUUAAAAACAAGAACACCAGCUAAGAGUCUAUUGAAGCAGUCAUGGGAAGAAAUGAUAAGUGCUGUACCUGGUUCUUAUGAGGACCUUAACCAUAAACUCCAUAAACUCACAGGAAUUAGUGUGGAUCCACAUGCUCCUCUCUCUCCUGGGGCUCCUGGAUUUUCUCCCCUGUCAGUCCCGAUGGGUUCCCUUGACUUCACAUCUCAGGGAAUAUGAGUGACUCAUCUCUGUCGUCUUCAGUGGCUCUUUAUACUUUCCUAUUUGAUCCUUAGAUAUUCAAAUAUACAUUUAUACAUUAAAUAUACAUUUAAGACUUGAAUAUUCUUUUUAGACUGUGUAUCAGAACUUUAGUUUAUGUUAUAAAAUUGUUCAGAACAUAGGGGCACCAGGAUUUUAUUCUAUUUCAAAUUUUUUUAUUGUUUUUCUCAG